rnacentral:tRNA from 2 species
GUCCCCAUCGUCUAGUGGCCCAGGACGUCGCCCUCUCACGGCGAAAACAGGGGUUCGACUCCCCUUGGGGAUACCA